AGUGAACGCUGGCGGCAGGCCUAACACAUGCAAGUCGAGCGGCAGCGGGUUCCCGCGAGGGGAUGCCGGCGAGCGGCGGACGGGUGAGGAACACAUCGGAAUCUGCCUGGUUGUGGGGGAUAACGUAGGGAAACUUACGCUAAUACCGCAUGAGACCCUGAGUCGACGGACUGGGGGUGAAAGUGAGGGACCUUCGGGCCUCACGCGACCAGAUGAGCCGAUGUCGGAUUAGCUAGUUGGCGGGGUAACGGCCCGCCAAGGCGACGAUCCGUAGCUGGUCUGAGAGGAUGAUCAGCCACACUGGGACUGAGACACGGCCCAGACUCCUACGGGAGGCAGCAGUGGGGAAUAUUGCGCAAGUGGGCGAAAGCCUGACGCAGCGACGCCGCGUGUGGGAU
rnacentral:rRNA from 1 species